CACGUAGGGGGGCGAGCGUUGUCCGGAUUUAUUGGGCGUAAAGAGCUCGUAGGCGGUUCGAUAAGUCGGGUGUGAAAACUCUGGGCUCAACUCAGAGACGCCACCCGAUACUGUUGUGACUUGAGUCCGGUAGGGGAGUAUGGAAUUCCCGGUGUAGCGGUGAAAUGCGCAGAUAUCGGGAGGAACACCAGUGGCGAAGGCGGUACUCUGGGCCGGAACUGACGCUGAGGAGCGAAAGCGUGGGUAGCGAACAGG
rnacentral:rRNA from 1 species